GCAGUCGAACGAUCCUAUUUUGAAUUCUAAAGACUUCGGUCAAUAGUCUUUCUGUUUAGGGUAGUGGCAAACGGGUGAGUAUAAAAUACGAACGUACUCUGAAGCGGGGAAUAGCCCACCGAAAGGUGGGGUAAUACCCCAUAGUCCCUCCGGGGUAAAGAUGCAAAUCACUUCAGAAGCGGCGUAUUUACUACCAGCUAGUUGGUGAGGUAAUGGCUCACCAAGGCUAUGACGGUUAACGGCUCUUAGUGGAGAGUCCGUCACAAUGGGACUGAGACACGGCCCAUACACCUACGGGUGGCAGCAGUUAGGAAUUUUGCGCAAUGGACGAAAGUCUGACGCAGCGACAUCGCGUGAAGGAUGAAGGCCCUCGGGUCGUAAACUUCUUUUGUUUGGGCAAGAAGCCCUUACGAAUAAGGAACUACUAACUACGUGCCAGCAGUCGCGGUAAUACGUAGGUUCCAAGCGUUACCCGGUUUUAUUGGGCGUAAAGAGUCUGUAGGUGGUUUUUUAAGUCUUGUUUCAAAGACUCCGGCUCAACCGGAGAAAGGGGCAGGAUACUGAAAGACUAGAGUUAUAUCGGGGUUACUGGAAUUGACUGUGUAGGGGUAAAAUCCGUGGAUACAGUCAAGAACACCAAGCGCGAAGGCGGGUAACCAGGUAUAUACUGACACUCAGAGACGAAAGCUAGGGUAGCAAAUCAGAUUAGAGACCUGAGUAGUCCUAGCCGUAAACGAUGUCCGUUAAUUCUUUCUCGAUUUAUCG
rnacentral:rRNA from 1 species